rnacentral:rRNA from 1 species
UUGCACGCUGGCGGCAUGCCUUACACAUGCAAGUCGAACGGUAACGGGCCUUCGGGUGCCGACGAGUGGCGAACGGGUGAGUAAUACAUCGGAACGUGCCCGAUCGUGGGGGAUAACGAGGCGAAAGCUUUGCUAAUACCGCAUACGAUCUACGGAUGAAAGCAGGGGACCGCAAGGCCUUGCGCGGACGGAGCGGCCGAUGGCAGAUUAGGUAGUUGGUGGGAUAAAAGCUUACCAAGCCGACGAUCUGUAGCUGGUCUGAGAGGAUGAUCAGCCACACUGGGACUGAGACACGGCCCAGACUCCUACGGGAGGCAGCAGUGGGGAAUUUUGGACAAUGGGCGCAAGCCUGAUCCAGCCAUGCCGCGUGCAGGAUGAAGGCCUUCGGGUUGUAAACUGCUUUUGUACGGAACGAAAAGCCUUCUUUUAAUACAGGAGGGUCAUGACGGUACCGUAAGAAUAAGCACCGGCUAACUACGUG